UCGUUUUAGGGGGAAAAGAGAAGUAGAGGUGUUCGGGAGCAACCCUCGGAGAGAUCAUCGGCCGAACGUCGAGGGGGUUUCUAGCUCGGACACGCGGGCUCCGGUGGAGGGCCGCGACGGAGCGGGAUGGAGGAGGUUAGCGUAGCCGUUUCCUCGAGGAGACGGGGUCCGGUCGGUCGCGGGGAGAGGAGGAGAGGAGAGAGCCGAAAGGGAAGAGGAAGAUAGAUUAGAGAGAGAGAGAGGAAAAGCUUUUUUAGAUUAGAGGGAGAGUGCGCAAAAGAGGCUCUCGGCGGUACCUUGUUGGCGUCGUGGGUGGAACCUCUAGCGGCGGAGGCCGAUGGAGAGGUAGAACCAGGCCUAGACAAGGUAGGGCGACGGUCUCGUCGACCUAGGCGGAGCCGGGUCGAGCGGGCACUUCGGCAACAGGGCAGAGAGGAGAGACGGAAUGACACGUCCGGUGGCGGUAGCGACCGCCCGCAACUAUGUAGUAAACCAGCAACCACAUGGAGAGAAACCAAGGAAGGAAGGAGCGACUAUGGGUCGUCCGAUGGAGGCCGGUGGAGAGGUAGAGCUAGGCCUAGACGAGGCAGGUCGGCAGCCUCGUCGGUCUAGGCGGAGGCCGGAUAAGAAGAAACAUAGAGUACCCUUCCUCUUCCUCCGCGUCCGUGGUACCUUCCACGCUCGAGCGCAGCGCACGUUCGUCCCUACACUACCGCGCUUCACCGACGCCUCCUCCUCCCGCUGCGCUCCCUAUACCUGUCUCCUCUGCCUCGACCGACGCCGACCUCAUCGCUGUGAGGCACGCUACCGGUCAAUAAAAAAAUUGUUUUGCCAGGCCUAGUUGAUUUUAUUUUAUCCGUGACGUCCAAUUAAAAUCUUUUGACAUCCCUGAUAAAUUUUUUCCGCACUGCCACUUGGGUCUCUGAGUUAGGCACGAAAUAAUAAUCCCUCUCUAUUCUUUGGAUUACACCAAGAUUAGAAGAGGGAGAUUAAGAGGUUGCUGCUAAUCAAAACGUACCGCUUCGCGACGGCCUAACACUUCCAACGUGCGAACGUUGGUUCAUCUCUCCAGCACGAAAACCAGAAACCAAGCUCCCUGACAAGUACCCGCCAUGCUCCCUAGUAAGUAGCCGCCAAACUCCCUGAAGUUCAUGCUAGAUGUGGCUGUACAAGAAGGGAGCGACGUUGAGCCACUGCUACCUACGUUCUACCUUCUUCACCGGUCUUUCCCUGUUCUCCCUUACUUUGAAGAACGACUUGAACGUUUCCUCCGACGAUAGUACCCUUUGGAUCCAUUGACAUUCAUUUAGAUCACGGGGAAUCACUAAAACCACAUAACUUCUGAAUAUCCAAUUCCCUGGCUAAGCAAACACUCACAUGUGUCCAGAUAUUCAGAUACUCCUCAAACUAUAAAUGUGUGUUUCAGCUGGGGAUUUUUACUUCAAGAAGCUGACUUCUGAAACCUAAAGACUUCUGAAAGACUUCUGAAACUUUCACUUCUUUAACCACACUAGGACUUCUGAACCAUAACUAAGCUCCUUGUACUUCGUACUUAUGAAAACAAAAGUAUCAAAGUAAAAGAGAAAGAACUCAGUAUCCUUUGUGGCAUGACAAUUUCCCCCAGCUCCUUUAUGAUUCCUUUUUAAAGGUUCACUACGAGUUGAGUUUAGGAUGUAGAUGGUUAGGGAAGCUCAGUUCGGUAACCUUUAGAGUAUGUCAAGUCAGUUUAAAGAAGUCACUGUCUCUGCUUAAAGAAAACCAGAGACCCCUUAAACAAGACUGACUCCUCAAACUAUUGGGUGUUAAUAUCCCCUAGUGUUAUCAAAAGCUCCCAUCUCAUAAGUGGGGUUUAAAUAACUAAACUGUGUUCCCCUCGGUUUCUUAUAAGAGUUCAUAAUCGUCGACUCAAUAGUUAAGUUGGUGUGGACCUUUGAAUUAUAGACGUCGUUUCACAAAUCAUCGUUCCAUUAUACUAUCAUCACUAUUGCCAUCGUUUUCCAUAGUCAUCAUUUUCAUUAUAAAAACCAUAAAACAUCACUACUAUCGUUAUCGUUGUCUUUUCAUUUAUUCGC
rnacentral:rRNA from 1 species